CGAGGCGGAAGAUGACCAGUGAUUGGACUAGAAGCUGAGCUGCUUCCCUUGUGAGGAAAGGCCGGAUCCUGCGGAUGUUGUAAAGUGCAAAUUUGCAGGAUCGGGCCACCGCAGUGAUGUUUGCGGUGCAGCAUAACUGAUUGUCCAGUACCACACCGAGGUUUCUGGCAGUUGGAGAAGGAGAUACAGUGAUGUUCUCAAGUCCAUGUGUGGUCAAUCUUUCCCUGGCAUUAGGAGGAGCUCACUCUUGCUGAGGUUAAGCCUCAGGUGAUGGGCAGUUGUCCAAGUGCUGACGUCUGCCAGACAUUCAGAUAUGUGUGUUGCUAUCAGGGCUUUGUCAGAUGAGUUGCGAUUCGUCAGGUAGGAUGUGAACCAGGGAAGGGCAGAUUCAGCAAUGCCAAGUUCAGCGAGAGUGGCAAGGAGGAUCUGGUGGUACACCAUGUCAAAUGCUGUGGACAGGUCGAGGAGAAUGAGAACCGAUGAGAGGGACGAGGCUCUGGCAGCACGGAGGGACUCUGUGCUCGAAGGCACGCCCCCUUUUUGUCUUCAUCUUUCGAAAAUCUGAGAGUAGACCGAGAGCAGUGAUGAGGCUCUCAACAAAAUGGCUGCGCCCGUGAAGAGAUUU